UGUUAUGGCGACCAUGCGUGGGGCACUUUCGAGUGCGCCGGGUUUUGGGUACCAAGGACUCCCCGGUCUUCCACACCCACGCAUGGCUGCCACCCUC
rfam:Pseudomonas chlororaphis subsp. aureofaciens 30-84 chromosome, whole genome shotgun sequence.